UACGUAGGGUGCAAGCGUUAAUCGGAAUUACUGGGCGUAAAGCGUGCGCAGGCGGUUCGUCGUGUCCGAUGUGAAAGCCCCGGGCUCAACCUGGGAAUGGCAUUGGAAACUGGCGGACUCGAGUGUGGCAGAGGGGGGUGGAAUUCCGCGUGUAGCAGUGAAAUGCGUAGAGAUGUGGAGGAACACCGAUGGCGAAGGCAGCCCCCUGGGUCAAGAUUGACGCUCAUGCACGAAAGCGUGGGGAGCAAACAGG
rnacentral:rRNA from 1 species